GAAAACGAAUUUUGGGAAAGACGAAGACGAAGAGGUAAAUACUUACAGGGGUAAAGAGAGGGGACAGGGGAGGCUUGGAGGAAGACGAAGUAGCCAUUGAAACUGAUUUGAAGAACAGGGGAGACCCCCAAAAAAUCAAAGCUUGCUUUUUAUUAUCCACAAUCUUGAAUUCUUGAAUUAAACUCAAUUUUAUCUCUGAAUGUUUAAUGUGGUAUUAAUGUCUCUCUCUCUCAUCGUUGUCUACCGUUGUUUGAAGCUGAAUUUUUGCAGGUUUCUGAAGCAAUUUUUUAUCCAGCUUCAUCUAGCCCCUCUCUUCUAGGCUUUAAAGCGCAAGAAUCUAAAAGAAAAGAUGAUGAUUGGUUGAUGGACAGAGCCUGAGUCAGGCAAGAAGCUAGUGGAGAAGACGAACAAUCUGCUCGUCUUCUCCGUUGGUCGUCGUUGGAGGCAAAUGUUGAGCGCCAUGCCGAAAGAAGAGAGAGGCAGCGAGUAGCGCCGGAGGAGAACAGUUUGAGCAUCGGUGUUCAGAGAAGAGAGGGUCAAAGAGCAAGUCAGACAUAACAAGAAAGACUAUUUUGCCCUUUUCAAUUCAGAAUAAAAUGAGGUUUAAUUUUUUCCGGUCACAUUUGACCGGCAAUUUGGCCGGCGUGACCAAAAUUGAGAAAAAAUGCAUAGUCAAGGUACGAAA